AGAAAAGCGAGGAAGAGAAGGAGUAUGCGGCGAAAACCGGGUGCAGAGAGAAGAUGGAUGGUGCAAAUCUUUUCCGGCAGUUGCAGAAGUAGUCUCGGAGCUCUUUUUGGGAAGCGCAGUGCACUGCGUGGGUACUGAAAAGCGGGUGUUCCCGUUAUUGAACAGCAAUCGGCAGUUCGUUUGAAAUCUGUACGGUUGCAGGAGUGCGGACAGUAGAAUCCUGUCCGAAUCCAGGUGGUAACACGGACAAAGAUGGUUCGCCCUGGGC
rnacentral:ncRNA from 1 species